rnacentral:rRNA from 1 species
UUGGAGGGCAAGUCUGGUGCCAGCAGCCGCGGUAAUUCCAGCUCCAAUAGCGUAUAUUAAAGUUGUUGCAGUUAAAAAGCUCAUAGUUGAAUUUCGGGACCAAUUUGUUGGUCGUGCCUCGGUACGUACUGGUAUUAUUGGUUUCUCCCUUCUGAAGAACCUUGAUGUCAUUAAUUUGGUGUCUUGGGGAAUCAGGACUGUUACUUUGAAAAAAUUAGAGUGUUUAAAGCAGGCAUACGCUUGAAUACAUUAGCAUGGAAUAAUGAAAUAGGACGUUUGAUUCUAUUUUGUUGGUUUCUAGGAUCGACGUAAUGAUUAAUAGGGAUAGUUGGGGGCAUUAGUAUUCAAUUGUCAGAGGUGAAAUUCUUGGAUUUAUUGAAGACUAACUACUGCGAAAGCAUUUGCCAAGGAUGUUUUCAUUAAUCAAGAACGAAAGUUAGGGGAUCGAAGACGAUCAGAUACCGUCGUAGUCUUAACCAUAAACUAUGCCGACUAGGGAUCGGAUGAUGUUAAUUUUUUAAUGACUCAUUCGGCGCCUUACGGGAAAC